UACGAAGGGGGCUAGCGUUGCUCGGAAUCACUGGGCGUAAAGCGCACGUAGGCGGCUUUCUAAGUCAGGGGUGAAAUCCUGGAGCUCAACUCCAGAACUGCCUUUGAUACUGGAGAGCUUGAGGCCGGAAGAGGUGAGUGGAACUCCGAGUGUAGAGGUGAAAUUCGUAGAUAUUCGGAAGAACACCAGUGGCGAAGGCGGCUCACUGGUCCGGUACUGACGCUGAUGUGCGAAAGCGUGGGGAGCAAACAGG
rnacentral:rRNA from 1 species